AAUAGAUACCCCGGUAGUCCACGCUGUAAACGGUGGGUACUAGGUGUGGGUCCAUUCCACGGGUUCCGUGCCGUAGCUAACGCUUUAAGUACCCCGCCUGGGAGUACGGCCGCAAGGCUAAAACUCAAAGGAAUUGACGGGGCCCCGCACAAGCGGCGGAGCAUGCGGAUUAAUUCGAUGCAACGCGUAGAACCUUACCUGGGUUUGACAUGGAUCGGGAGCGCUCAGAGAUGGGUGUGCCUCUUUUGGGGUCGGUUCACAGGUGGUGCAUGGCUGUCGUCAGCUCGUGUCGUGAGAUGUUGGGUUAAGUCCCGCAACGAGCGCAACCCUUGUUCACUGUUGCCAGCACGUUUAUGGUGGGGACUCAGUGGAGACCGCCGGGGUCAACUCGGAGGAAGGUGGGGAUGACGUCAAGUCAUCAUGCCCCUUAUGUCCAGGGCUUCACGCAUGCUACAAUGGCUGGUACAGAGAGUGGCGAGCCUGUGAGGGUGAGCGAAUCUCGGAAAGCCGGUCUCAGUUCGGAUUGGGGUCUGC
rnacentral:rRNA from 1 species